AAACACGUGAUUUUCAGGUUUAAUGGAAGAUUCAUGAAGAGAAAACGCGUGAUUUUCAAGUUAAAUGGGGGAUGUCCGAAGAGAAAACGCGUGAUUUUCGCUGAAAUGGGGGAUUUGAGAAGAGAAAAUUCGUGAUUUUCGCAUAAUGGGGGAUUCUCGAAGAGAAACUCUUGAUUUCACUUAAAGUGACGAUUCUCAAAGAGAAAAAGCGAUAUUUUCGCUUAAAUGGGGGUUUUGCGAUGGGAAAACGUGUGAUUUCUGGUUAAAUGGGGGAUUUCUGAAGAGAAAACUCGUGGUUUUUUGUGUUAAUUGGGGGAUUUGCAAAGAGAAAAUGCGUGAUUUUCGCUUAAAUGUUGGAUUCUCGGAGAGAAAACGCGUGAUUUUCGCUUAAAUGGGGGAUUUCCGAAGAGAAAACGCAUGAUUUUCUGGUUAAAUGGGGGAUUUGCGAAGAGAAAACGCAUGAUUUUCGCUUAAAUGGGAUUGAGAAAACGGUGAUUUUCGUUAAAUGUUGGAUUCUCGAAGAGAAAAGCGUGAUUUUCGCUUAAAUGGGGGAUUUGAGAAAAGAAAACGAGUGAUUUUCAGGUUAAAUGGGGAUUCCUGAAGAGAAAACGCGUGAUUUUUGCUUUAAUGGCGGAUUUGUGAAGAGAAAACGUGUGUUUUUCGCUUAAAUGGGGGAUUUGCAAAUUGAAAAUGUGCGUUUUCGGGUUAAAUGGGGGGAUUUUCGAAGAGAAAACACGUGUUUUCCACAUAAAUGGGGGAUUUGGAAGAGAAAACGCGUGGUUUUCGGGUUAAAUGGA
rnacentral:lncRNA from 7 species